rnacentral:rRNA from 1 species
ACGGGUGAGUAAUACCUAGGAAUCUGCCUGAUAGUGGGGGAUAACGUUCGGAAACGGACGCUAAUACCGCAUACGUCCUACGGGAGAAAGCAGGGGACCUUCGGGCCUUGCGCUAUCAGAUGAGCCUAGGUCGGAUUAGCUAGUUGGUGAGGUAAUGGCUCACCAAGGCUACGAUCCGUAACUGGUCUGAGAGGAUGAUCAGUCACACUGGAACUGAGACACGGUCCAGACUCCUACGGGAGGCAGCAGUGGGGAAUAUUGGACAAUGGGCGAAAGCCUGAUCCAGCCAUGCCGCGUGUGUGAAGAAGGUCUUCGGAUUGUAAAGCACUUUAAGUUGGGAGGAAGGGUAUUAACCUAAUACGUUAGUACUUUGACGUUACCGACAGAAUAAGCACCGGCUAACUCUGUGCCAGCAGCCGCGGUAAUACAGAGGGUGCAAGCGUUAAUCGGAAUUACUGGGCGUAAAGCGCGCGUAGGUGGUUUGUUAAGUUGAAUGUGAAAUCCCCGGGCUCAACCUGGGAACUGCAUCCAAAACUGGCAAGCUAGAGUAUGGUAGAGGGUAGUGGAAUUUCCUGUGUAGCGGU